CAAACCCCUACACCUCCUGCAAACCCCUACACCUCCUUUGCAGGCACGGCCGCGUUAUAUCCAGAGGUCCCUGCCAUCCCUUGGGCAUGGGUGGGUUUCCUGAGGACCAUACUCUGAUUUACCCCUUCUCUCCUGGACCUUCGUGUAACUUCAAGCUUCUCAUCAUUAUAAUUAAUGCUGUGGGAUACAUUCUUCGGCAGGUGUGGUCACGUCUGCCUUCGCUCAUCACUUCUAACCAAAGUUUCCUAGAAGCUGGACAACGGAGGGCAAAGAUUCUUGGUACAUAUCAUCAUGGCUUUUGCUUUUUCUAGAGAGUUCCUGCCACUCUGCAUCCAAGAAGCCACAUACGAUGAUAUGAUUCCUGCCCACGUGCUCCCCCAUUAGUGUGCCUUGUCGCAAUUCCGCACUUAGCAGUCCUAAGGUAAAUUCUAGACGUGUCCUGGAGACAGCCCAGGAGGGGAGGAGAAGUCCGAGGUGAUGGAGGGGCCUGCAGACUCAGAGGAUCAGAGAGGAGGGGGCAGAUACUAGGGAGGUGUGCUUGCAGGACAUGCUCCUGUUCCCUGGGACAGAAGCCUUUCUCUCUUUUUUUCUAAUGAUUACCCUUGGCCUUGGGAGUUUAUCAGGUUUGGGUACCCAGGAAGCCAGGCGUCUGAGCUUGCAGAGGCUGGGUGGAGGUCCUCUGUCUUCCUCUCACCUUCCUGGGGCCUCUAGGGGGAAGUGUGCCCUUUGGUGGUAAGCCAGCUGGUCUUUUUGGUAUCCACCUUGGGAGGCUUAACUGGCAUGGACGCUCUUCGACAUCAUAAUUCCACACGUCUACUUUCAGUUGAUAAGGGACCCAUCUUGAUCGAUUCAUUCAUUCAUUCAUUUCACAAAUAUUUACUGAGCACCUACUAUGUGCCAAGUCCAAUGUUGGGCACUGGGGGGCGCACUAGCCUACCAAAAAAGCCCCGCUUGUGUCGAUUUCCUCUUCGUAGGAAGGGUCCUGCUUGAGGAUGCAUUUAAAGGAAUCCUUCAGUCUCCUAAAUCAUCAAGAGUAGGAUUUCCCUCUCCUUGUGCUGGAACCUCCUUCCUCCCGAUACCUCCACCCCUAGCCCAGGUCCCCAGGUUUACUUGUUCCUGGGUGAGCCCCGUUCCCUCUGGGACUCAUGUGUGCCAGGCCAGAGGCACGAAUUUCUUUAGCUUCUAUCACUAGCCUUUCCGGGCCAGGCAGCGCCCUCUGUGGGGUAGGGCAGAGCUCCGUGUGGCACCAGCAGACCUUCAUCAGGGGAGGAUUUCCGGGCUGGGGAGUGGGCUGCGAGCACUGGUCAGACGGCUUGCCUCGUGGGCCGCGUUGCCCGAGGCUCAGACGUUCGCUGAGAGAGCUACGACAGCAUUUAGCUGGACUGCCAGGACCCGAGGUCGCGGCCGGGGCUGGGGUUUCGAGGGCUAUCGUCAGAAGAAGACGUCGGAAGAAGACGUCGGAAGAACACUGGAGCCAGUCACUGCAUCUUCUGGAUACUUUCAUUUGCAUUUCCUUUCCAUAACGUGGGUUAAGAAAUGGGACGUCUGACAUAUUUGUAGGGUUGCAGUUUAGCACUUCUCCAAACGGGUAAGUGACGGAGCGCCCUGAAGACAUGCCUGUCACCAGGGCCCAAGGCUGCCUUGCAGGAUGGGGGGGGGGUGCUGGGGGGAGGGCGGGAGGGGCCGUGUGGCCCAGCCCAGGAGGGACCCGGCCUGCAGCUUGCGGGCCACAUUACCAGCCCUGCUCCAGGCCACAGUUCUACAGAAGGCUGAAGCACUGCCUUGUGGUGUUUCUGCCAGUUUCUGGAAAGGGCCUUCUCCCUGUCCCCUGGCCUCAGACUUCUGCUCGAAUUCCUGCUGUCCGUGUCAACAAGUGGGAGACACAGCCCCGUCCCCAAUUUCCCCAGAGAAGCCAACCCCCCCGCCCCACCCCCACGUAUUUCCUGGUCUCCUCUGUAGAUACGGCUGCUUCAAUGAGGGGGUCGCCCUGAGCUGCAGAACAGGCUCCAGGAAUGUCACCAGAGCCCCCUCCCCCACACCAUCAUGACUUCCCCUAGCCCACUCCUGUAGCGGGGGAGAGGACAGUCUUCCCAGCUAGGUAUCCCCAGGCAUGUCCCAGCCCUUACCCGGCACUCAGGAAAGUAAAAGGCUUCCCCUUCCCAUUCACCAAGCCCCACUCCCCUGAGGAGGUCAUAAAAAUGAUGAUUAGGAACGUGGGGGCGGGGGAGGGUAACGGUGUCCAGGGAGGCUCUGCUAGAAUCCCUUUCCCAGGACGCAAUACACCUGUUCCUUGUCACCUGCUAGAGCUGGCCGUGAGCCAAGCCCGUCGGCAGCCGUUCUCUCUGAACCGAUAUGGAGAGAUAGGUCUGAUGACGUCAGGGCUGGGGCACUGUCCUCUCCCCCACAGAAGACAGUCCCCAGGGUAGGGAGGAGUCCCCUCAGGGCUGGGGAAGGUCCUGUGCCCCAGAGUUAGGGGUGGAUGGGCAAGGCAAGGCAGGUUUCCUGCCUUCUUUCAGACAAGAUGUCCUCUUCUAGGGAAGAGGGCCAUCGGCGCAUCUCCAGGGACACGCUUCUCCAUAUGCCACCAUGAAUAAAGCGCACACUUGCAUGAUGUCAGUCUUCUCCAGGGCCUGGAGAAAGAGCCUGUCAGGGGAGAACCGGUUGGGUUGCUGUAUUUGAUUGCCUUUUUUUGGAGCCCAGUAAAGGGUACCAUUGUUUCUAGGCAGUCACCUGAAACAUACAUAUGGUACUCUGGUAACCCCAAUGUCAAGGACUUGUGGGAGGCUGGUCUCCUGAAGCCCUGCUCGGGCCCCAGCACCCCAAGCUCAGCAGACUUCUGUAAAUGGCUUUUAGUCAGAAUCAAACAAGGUGUGCCCAGAGCCAAGAAGCAGCUGGUUCAAACUGAAAGAAAGGGCACAGCCCUACAAUAAACUGUUGAUACUUAUCUAUUAUACGGCGAGGUCACUGGGGUAAGAACUGGCCCGCUUCUUCCAUUUUGUAUCCAGUUCCCUUUCUAGGCGUUGCCUUUACCUGGGAGACUCUCCAAGGAGGUAUUUGUUGAAUUGAAAAACAAUCCCAAGUUCAACACCUCCUUACACCCAACCUCCAAAUCUACCUUCAAAUUCAAGUGGAGAUGUACAAAGCUGUGGUUGACACCUCCGAUAUAUUUUAGAGCGAGUUUAUGAAUGUGUAACCCUUCAUUUUAAAUCACCACCAAAAAAGGAUAAACAAAAAAAA